rnacentral:piRNA from 1 species
UGUACUUCUCCGUCAGAAAGU